rnacentral:rRNA from 1 species
AAAGAACUAACAAGGAUUUCCUUAGUAACGGCGAGCGAACCGGAAGGAGCCCAGCUUGAAAAUCGCGGGGCCUGGCCCCGCGAAUUGUAGUCUGGAGAAGCGUCCUCUGCAGCGGACCGGGCCCAAGUUCCCUGGAACGGGACGUCGGAGAGGGUGAGAGCCCCGUCGAGCUCGGACCCUGCUGCUCCACGAGGCGCUGUCGGCGAGUCGGGCUGUUUGGGAAUGCAGCCCUAAGCGGGUGGUAAAUUCCAUCCAAGGCUAAAUACGGGCAAGAGACCGAUAGCGAACAAGUACCGCGAGGGAAAGAUGAAAAGGACUUUGAAAAGAGAGUUAAAAAGUGCUUGAAAUUGCUGGGAGGGAAGCGAAUGGAGGCUGCGGGUGCGCCCCGGUUGGAUGCGGAACGGCGCGAGCUGGUCCGCCGCUCAACGCGGGGCGCUGGUCAGCGUGGGCUAUCUCGGCGGGACAAGAGCCGGCUUUCGAUGCUUGCCUAUGCCGUUGGGAUGGCCGAGGGACGAAGCGCGCGCCUCCGGGCGGCCCCCCUGGGGACCUGCGCGCUCGGGACGCUGGCGCAUUGAGCUUUCCAUCCGGCCCGUCUUGAAACACGGACCAAGGAGUCUAACAUGUAUGCGAGCCGGUGGGUGGCAAACCCACGGAGGCGCAAGUAACCUGACAGGUGGGAUCCCCCCUCGCGGGGAGCACCAUCGACCGACCAUGAUCUUCUGUGAAAGGUUUGAGUGCGAGCAUACCUGCUGGGACCCGAAAGAUGGUGAACUAUGCCUGAGCAGGGCGAAGCCAGAGGAAACUCUGGUGGAGGCUCGUAGCGAUACUGACGUGCAAAUCGUUCGUCAGACUUGGGUAUAGGGGCGAAAGACUAAUCGAACCAUCUAGUAGCUGGUUCCCUCCGAAGUUUCCCUCAGGAUAGCUGGAGCUCAUGUUAGUUUUAUCAGGUAAAGCGAAUGAUUAGAGGCAUCGGGGGUGAAACACCCUCGACCUAUUCUCAAACUUUAAAUGGGUAAGUCGCCGGGGUUGCUUGAUUGAACCCCGGCACAGAAUAGAGC